rnacentral:tRNA from 1 species
GCAGGUAGCUCAGUGGUUAAGAACACUGACUGCUCUUCCAGAGGACCUGGGUUCAAUUCCCAGUACCUACA